AUGCCACAAAAAUAUUCCCAAAAAUAAUAUCAUGUGCUGUUAAGUAAAAUUAAAAAAUAAAAACAAAUAUAUUUAACUUUAUUGAUAGAAAACAUUACUUAAAAUCAUAAUUUAUUUUAAGUAAUGAAAUGCUUCCACCACAAUUAAUUGUAUUAAAAAAAUUACUACAUCUAUCUUAACUUCCGUCCAAUCAAACGUCUUCACUCGCCCUAUGUUGCCCUAGACACGUGUUGCCACUGUGUUAAUUUGUAGCUAUGAUUAUGCUUCUCAUAAAAAAAAAACCCUUGAAAAUAAAACUGAAACUCAAGAGUGGAAAAAAAAAUAAAAAAGAAGGAUUGAGAUUUUGAAGAGAAAAAGAAGGGAAAACUGAGAAAAUCUGCGGUUUGUUUUCUCGCGUGGAAGAGAUGAACAGUGAUGAGAAAUGGAGGUAUGUUACCUACAGAUGGGAUUCGCAAGAGAAGACGGUGAACAUCAAUCCGAUAAUGCUAAGAUUCCGUCCAAUCGCUCCGAAACCGGUGACCGGAGAGUCUGGUUCCGGUGGGGUUCAGUUUGGUAACAAAAACUUGUUGCUUUGUAAGCCAAGAGCUAAAAGAAAAUACGUUAGGGUUCGAAAGAAUAAUAUCAAGAGAAAGAAAAGAUCAUCAUCAUCAUCACCAUCAGAUCAUGAAGAAUCUUCAAAAAAAACUGAAAAGGUUGUUACUUUGCAGUUAUUACCAGAGAAAACUGAAGCAAUUGGAUCAAUUAACGAUGAAAACGGUGUAGUUUUGGAGGAAAAUAAUCAAGAUCUACCUUCGUUGUUUAACUUGAACAACAGCCGUAGGAUUAAUCGUAUCGCUCCUUUGGAGGAGCCUGAUCGGAAGGCGGUGGUGAGUCAAACGGAAAGGGCAACGGUGGUUGAGUCGUGGGUUACGGUGGAGUGCGUGACGGAGACUUGCAUGGAUGGGAGAGAGCUAGGAAGUACUGACGUCGAAAAGAUGAAGAAUCUUGAGGCCGACACGUGUCCAGGGUUUAUAUCCGACGGUUUAAAUAGGGUUCAGUGGGUUAACGGGGCAUAUAAGAGGAUGUUGAUGGCGGGGGAAGGGCGUGGGGGGUGGUUGCCGCCGGAGAUAACGGCUUGGCUUGUGAUUAAACAAGAGUUGCCUACGUUUUGCACUGCAUUUUCAUGCAAGGUAAGGUUGCAGUUCAUGUGGCGGAACAAGUGUUCCACAAUAAUGUUGCCGUGUGAUGCCUGGAAAAUGGACGGCGGCGGCGGUUUUGCAUGGCGGCUCGAUGUCGAGUCUGCUCUCAGUCUCGGCCAUUAAGGAACUUUAUAGAAGUUAGGUUAGCAAGGCAGGAUUUGGUGGCAGCUGGGGACAAAGUACAAGCUUAUUUAUUAUUUAUUUUUAUGAGGAUGAUUAGGAGACAGGUGGAAUGAAAACUGCCCAAUGACAAAGUACAGGUCCAUCUUUUUUUGACACAGCAUAGUUAUUUCCGACAAAACUAGGUAGCUCAGGUAAACUUGUAAUGGAGGGCUGAUGGAUAUAUGGGCGAGAAAGAAGGGAACAUGUACACGUCUCUGCUGGAAGUGUAUAUAUGAAUAUGCGAUGGUAAGUGUUUGAACUUAGAGAAUGAAUUAAUGUAUUAUAGAUUCGAUGAAAGGUAGGUCUUGAAGUCUUAGUUUUUCUUUUGGUGAAGAAAUGAUGAAGAUGGAUUAAGGCAUUGUAAAAAGGGUGAAACUCUGAAGAUAAUUAAACCCCUAAUUUGUCUACCAAUAUCCAUAAAUCAAGACUGGUGUGUUUUCUUUUGGGCCUACUACAAUUACACCAACAAAAAAAAAACCUUUUUUGCUGCAUUUGUGUGUUUCACAUGUAGAGACUCCGGUCUAAUUCUU